rnacentral:lncRNA from 1 species
GCCGGUCCCGGCCCGCCGGCGGCCGACGUCGGCGCGGUGCCGCCCCGCGGCGAGGCCGAAGUUAGCGGGCGCCCGGGCCGUGGGGCGGGGGCUUCCGAGCGAAGUUUGUGUUACGUCGGGCUGCGGCGGUGAGCAUCACCCUGCCCGGGAGCGCUUAUCGCGCGAAACCUGCGGACUUCUCUGCCGUCGUGUCUCCGCAUACAACCUUUAGUCUAUCUGAAGUUCUUGCACUGGGGUGACGUGGGCGAUAUAAACUGACAAGUCAUGGUGGUAAUGAAAAACAAACUCUGUACAUCCAGGCAGGCUUCCAUCAGUGCUGUAGAACUCUGGCCCUUUAAACGAGAUCUCACCUACGGUCACGUUCUGAUUCCGCCUCCCCUCCUUCCUAGCACGUAAUUAAGUUAUGAAGAUUGUGUCAUGGAACUUCGCUCUGAGACUCAUAAGGGGAAUGAACACGCACCAGGUUUUAGGAAGAAGCCAUUUCGUGUUGUGUAGCUUAAUGAACUAUCACACGGACAAACACUUGGAGAGUUCUGCUUCUUCAGGGGAACAGCGGUGGGCAUUCCACUCGAGAUUUCUUUCCAGUGCAGACAUCCAACAGGAGGUCAGAGGACUGCUUUGGGAAAACUGUUGCUGCUGUCUGCUUGUAAAGCAUGGUGGUGCAGUAAUGGCUCUGUGCUGCUGAAGGGCUGGUUUUUGUGCAGUACUUGUUGUGAACAUCUCUUCUGUGAGAAAGCCCGGAGUGUUUGUGCUGUCGGCGAGUGGGAAGCACCAGCUCUGCAGCUGGCUGUGCAGCGGGUACUCAUCCUUCCUGCUCACUUCCUUUUUGUUUGUGUUUUUUCUAGAUCUUCCUAGAUUUUCACAUACGUUUAGGCAUGAGUGAAAUCAGUCUUUUCUUGAGCAACGCUUUAAAAACAAAGAACCUGUUGCAUGUAGAGAAAGCAACUGUAAUGCAUAAAAUUUAUACCGAAGGUUAGAGCUCUGAAAGUGCUGCAGAAACAAUUUUUUGUCUUCUGUUAGUUGAAAACAAAACACCAGUUAUUGCCUCCUUCUCAGGUACUUAGUAACAGAAACCAAUUAUGAUAGUUUUUUUUCUGGGGAAAAGGAGAGAGGAUAGGUGCUGGGACCAUGUAAUGGUGAAUGAACCAAGAUGAGCUGUGAGCAGCAGCCUCGGAGGCUUUGGAGCAAUUACAGAGUGGGAAAGAGUGCUCUUUGCCUCAUGUACAGACUGCAGUGCAGGUGAAUCUGAGGUGGAAUGGUUGCUUGUGGGGUAC